CAUUUCUGGGACAUAUUGUACAGGAUGCUUCUUUACCGCCAUGAUCGCGAGACAGAGGACAUAUCUAUGAGAAGGAAGUGAUGGAAAAGGUGAAAAAUGCACUGUUCUUGUUAUCCAAGCUCCAUCGGCCUUCCCGUCCUGGACAGGACCCCGAGCUCGCCCAACUCUGAUCCAGUGGGAACGGCUAACGUCCAUUCCCACCUGUCAGCCUUGUGGGCAAAUGGGACUCACUCCAUUACAUCUUCGAUUCGAAACAGAUGCAAGAGACACGAGACUUCUCUCUGGUGGAAAUGCCCGAACGUUAGACGAACGCGGUAAAAGGGUGUCUACGGGGCCCGACCCUGCAUCUGUCGAAGCCAAGGGGAGAUUUGCCAUUUGAUCUAAAACCGAAGCAGGAUCGGGCCAGUCGUUGGAAAGAUUCAGCGGCGUUAGGAAACCUUCCACCCUUCUCC